rnacentral:rRNA from 1 species
GACAGAGGAUGCAAGCGUUAUCCGGAAUGAUUGGGCGUAAAGCGUCUGUAGGUGGCUUUUUAAGUCCGCCGUCAAUCCCAGGGCUCAACCCUGGACAGGCGGUGGAAACUACCAAGCUGGAGUACGGUAGGGGCAGAGGGAAUUUCCGGUGGAGCGGUGAAUGCGUAGAGAUCGGAAGAACACCAACGGCGAAAGCACUCUGCUGGCCGACACUGACACUGAGAGACGAAAGCUAGGGGAGCGAAUGGG